GCGGGCGUGGCGAAAUUGGCAGACGCGCCAGACUUAGGAUCUGGUGGGGUAACCCGUAGGAGUUCAAGUCUCCUCGCCCGCA
rnacentral:tRNA from 2 species